ensembl:lncRNA
GACAGACAUUAGGUGGUAUUUAAUGAGCCAAUAAAACGACAGCUUAUCAACAGCUUCAAGGCAGGUAUAAGCAGCCGAAGAGACCAUUAUUGCCACACACAAACUCACUGAAACACACGCUGGCUGUACACUGAAGCCAGGCUCUCCGGUCGUGGUCUGUUGUGUCUUGUUGACAUGGCGUCUAUUUAUAGGCCGGGCUUACUUAAUGUUGUCUGGAACCCCAUACCACGCCAUUUCAGUCCUUUGUACCCAGCACUGCCGGGCUAAAGAAAACACAGGCCAGUCUCAAACACUUCCUGCUGUUGUUGUCUGUGUGUGUGGAUAGAACCAGUUUGAACUAAAUGGCUGCCAGUUUUAGAUUUGCACACACACAAACACACAUUAAUUUUUUUCUUGUGGGGACCGGAAACAUAGAAACCCAGGUUCCCUAUCCAUACCACAAUCCUUAACAGCAAAACGUUGUUACUUUUACCCCGUUUCAUCCCCAGUUUCACAAUAUCCAAUUAGUGAUUUAGGCCCUGCUUCAUCACAGCAACUCCCAGUGGACUCAGGACAGUUGAUGUUGAGUGAUGUGUCUUGUGAAGCAUGGUCCUUAUCAUGCUGCUGGCUCCACUAACGGAGGGAACCGUUCUCUGAUCUUCUACCACUAUUAAGGUAACAAUAGCCCAAGCUGCCAUAUUGAAUGGACAGAGCGUGUUGAGGCAAGGCAACCACAUUCGUUGGCUAACCCCUCAAAACCACUUGGUGCUGGUUAAUUGCACCCCCUUCAAAGGGACCUCAGGGGUAAUCAUUGAGCAGGUUUUUAACACUGGUCUUGCAAUGACACAGCUGACUGCUGCGCCAUUUGGGGGCCCCGUUAACCUAAACUUAACCUCACCCUGACGCCUGACCCGUAAUGCCUAAAAGUAACCCCAAUUUUAACACUACACCCGAUUAUAACUUCACCCUAAACAUAAGGCUUAAGGUGGAAAGAAAGCCCAUUUUGUUUUUAGCGGGGACCGGACAAAUAACCUUUACGGGGACUCAGCAUUGCGGGGACAUCUGGUCCCCACAUGUACACAACACACAGAUCUGGAUCCCAAACGCACACAUAACGAGCCAGCCGAGUGGUGUUUACAGAUCGGUGUAACAGCUUAUUAAGCAAAUAGCUGACCAGGGGUGACUACUUAGACAGAAGGCCCCGCCCUCCCCACUGCUCUCCCUCGACUGAGUCAGGCUCCAGUUCCCCGGCUGCCGUCGCCACGGUGAUAUUGUCAAGAGGGGGAGGGUUACGGUGCCGGCCAAUAGCAGGGCCAGUAAAUGAGGCUUAGCGCCGUGGGGAUUCACGGGGAUUCCCGGGUCCCAGGCCUAAUCCAGUCUCUAAUAGAAUUAUUCCAUGUGAAUCAAUCCCUCAGAGUGGUGACGACGGGGACGGGUCGGCAGGAAAGGCCACAUGAGACCGUUGGAGUGACUGGAGUGGAGGCACACCACGGCAGGGAGGGGCACGACUACCUACACACACACGUGCGCGGGCAUGUGCGCGCGCUGGCGCAAUGUGCGGCCAUACACGUGUGUGCGAGGGAUAAGAUAAAGAGAUCACAUGCAUCUACAUCUACAAAAAAAAAAACACCGAAAGAUGUGAGUGCUGAGCUCACCAGUGAGAGAAACACAGGGGGUUAAAGCCCAAGUACCAAGUGGGAGUGGGGAGAAGUCCAGAUUCAAGUCACAGAGUCUGCUUUCUCCUUCCUUCAGUGAAGAUCCCAGAGGCCUCUAAGCCAACAGUAGGUGUGGUGGUUACUUAGCAACCCUCCACGCAAACUGCCAGAGGACAAAGCAAGGGAGAAGAGGUUGAGUCCAGAACAAUCCCUGGUUCCCCCUCCUUCUCUGCUGGGAGUACUUAGACUUUAACCUUCCGCACAGCUCUCACACCGACCAGCUCAACAAUAACCUCUCAGCGCUGAAUCCCCUCUCAAGGGAAAUGAAGAACAGGGAUGGACAACACGUCUGUAACCCAUUCAUGGUCUACUCCACCCCAACAAGCCAGAAAAUAAAUUACUGUAGCUAAACUGAAAUAAUCAUACAUUGAGAAUUAUUGUAUUAUAGUACGUAACUAUAUUAAUAAAUGCAUUUAAAAUCAAUAAAAUAGAAAAGGUACUACCA